rnacentral:rRNA from 1 species
CCUAGUAACUGCGAGUGAAGAGGGACAAGCUCAAAUUUUAAAUCUGUUCGGUUCUACCUGACAGAGUUGUAAUUUAAAGAAACGUUUUCUGCGUCUUGAGUUAAUCAAAAUCCUUUGGAAUGAGGUAUCAUGGAGGGUGACAAUCCCGUUCAUGGUUAAUUCUAAGAUGCUUUAUGAUGCGUUUUCGAAGAGUCGAGUUGUUUGGGAUUGCAGCUCAAAAUGGGAGGUAAAUUUCUCCUAAGGCUAAAUAUUGGCGAGAGACCGAUAGCGAACAAGUACCGUGAGGGAAAGAUGAAAAGAACUUUGAAAAGAGAGUUAAACAGUACGUGAAAUUGUUGAAAGGGAAACGAUUGAAGUCAGUCGUACCAGCGGGAAAUCAACCUUUCGAGUGGGUUUUUGGAGUUUUGAAGUGUGUCAAAACCUUUGAGAUUUCAAAAAUUUCGCUCUUUUGGUGUACUUUCUCGCAGGUAGGUUAACAUCGAUUCUGAUCAUCAUAAAAGGAUUGGAGGAAUGUAGCUUCGAUCUCGUAUUGAAGUGUUAUAGCCUUUGGUAAAUGUGAUGAUUGGGAUCGAGGAUUGCAACGAAUACCCUUUUGGGCUAUCCGCCUGAUCUCUGAUACGUGGCCUUGGCAUCGAAAGCGUGCUUAUGGGUAUCAAGGUAUUACGGUCAAAAGGUUAGAACGGGAUUACAUUCGUUAAGGAUGUU